UACGAAGGGGGCUAGCGUUGCUCGGAAUCACUGGGCGUAAAGGGUGCGUAGGCGGGUCUUUAAGUCAGGGGUGAAAUCCUGGAGCUCAACUCCAGAACUGCCUUUGAUACUGAAGAUCUUGAGUUCGGGAGAGGUGAGUGGAACUGCGAGUGUAGAGGUGAAAUUCGUAGAUAUUCGCAAGAACACCGGUGGCGAAGGCGGGUCUCUGGGCCGAUACCUGACGCUGAGGCGCG
rnacentral:rRNA from 1 species